rnacentral:tRNA from 1 species
GACCCGUUAGCUCAGCUGGCAGAGCACCUGCCUUUUAAGCAGGGGGCCGCAGGUUCGAAUCCUGCACGGGUCACCA